rnacentral:rRNA from 1 species
AUUGAACGCUGGCGGCAUGCUUUACACAUGCAAGUCGAACGGUAACAGGCCGCAAGGUGCUGACGAGUGGCGAACGGGUGAGUAAUGCAUCGGAACGUGCCCAGCCGUGGGGGAUAACUACUCGAAAGAGUAGCUAAUACCGCAUACGAUCUAUGGAUGAAAGCGGGGGACCGUAAGGCCUCGCGCGAUUGGAGCGGCCGAUGUCAGAUUAGGUAGUUGGUGGGGUAAAGGCUCACCAAGCCAACGAUCUGUAGCUGGUCUGAGAGGACGACCAGCCACACUGGGACUGAGACACGGCCCAGACUCCUACGGGAGGCAGCAGUGGGGAAUUUUGGACAAUGGGCGCAAGCCUGAUCCAGCAAUGCCGCGUGCAGGAAGAAGGCCUUCGGGUUGUAAACUGCUUUUGUACGGAACGAAACGGCUCUGGUUAAUACCCGGGGCUAAUGACGGUACCGUAAGAAUAAGCACCGGCUAACUACGU